AUGCUUGCCUGGCAGGGGCGAUACCAUGAUCACCAAGGUGAUUUUCUCAGGGUGAGGCUUAUCCAUUGCACUCCAGAUGUGCUGACCGCUGUGAUUUCCCCAAAUGUGGGAAAUUCAACUGCAUAAUUUGUGCUAGUAGGGGACUGCAUUUGUGCUCUCCCCUA